GUAAACAAAAUUCCAGCACUGGUGGACACUUUGGUUGCCAAAACUCAGGCAUGGGAGGAAGAUCGUGGCAUGCAAUUUGCUUAUGAUGGAGUUCCUCUAUUGGCCAUGCUAGAUGAAUAUGCCAUGCUUAGGCAGGAAAGAGAAGAAGAGAAGCGAAGACUUAGGGAUCAGAAGAAGUUCCAUGAGCAGCAAAACACGGAACAAGAAACUAUUUUUGGCUCAAGGCCCAGCCCUGCUCGACC
rnacentral:misc_RNA from 1 species